GGCCAAUAAAAAUAUUUGUAUUUGUAUUUGUAUUGUACAACGGAUUGUUAAAUUACAUUUCAUGAACAUCAUCGUGAACCGGGUACUAUUAUAGUGGAACCGUUUAAUAUCAACAAAAGAGUAAACUGAGAGACCAUGAGUUUAUCCUUAGUAUCCAUUGGAACCAGGUUGUUAGGAGUAUAUUUAACUUGUUUAACGUAUACAUGUCAUU
rnacentral:lncRNA from 1 species